rnacentral:rRNA from 1 species
GACGAACGCUGGCGGCGUGCUUAACACAUGCAAGUCGAACGAUGAAGCUGGAGCUUGCUCCGGUGGAUUAGUGGCGAACGGGUGAGUAACACGUGAGAAAUCUGCCCUUGACUCUGGGAUAACUGCGGGAAACUGUAGCUAAUACCGGAUACUUUCCCUGGUGGGCAUCCACUGGGGAAGAAAGAAUUUCGGUCAAGGAUGAUCUCGCGGCCUAUCAGCUAGUUGGUGAGGUAAUGGCUCACCAAGGCGACGACGGGUAGCCGGCCUGAGAGGGUGACCGGCCACACUGGAACUGAGACACGGUCCAGACUCCUACGGGAGGCAGCAGUGGGGAAUUUCCGCAAUGGGCGAAAGCCUGACGGAGCAAUACCGCGUGAGGGAAGAAUGCCUAUGGGUUGUAAACCUCUUUUUUCAGGGAGGAAUAAAAUGACGUGUACCUGAAGAAUAAGCAUCGGCUAAACUCCGUG